AUUGAACGCUGGCGGCAGGCCUAACACAUGCAAGUCGAGCGAGCGGCGGACGGGUGAGUAAUGUCUGGGAAACUGCCUGAUGGAGGGGGAUAACUACUGGAAACGGUAGCUAAUACCGCAUACCAUCAGAUGUGCCCAGAUGGGCUUAGCUGGUGGGUGGGGUAACGGCUCACCUAGGCGACGAUCCCUAGAUGGUCUGAGAGGAUGACCAGCCACACUGGAACUGAGCAACGGUCCAGACUCCUACGGGAGGCAGCAGUGGGGAAUAUUGCACAAUGGGCGCAAGCCUGAUGCAGCCAUGCCGCGGGUGUGAAGAAGGCCUUCGGGUUGUAAAGCACUUUCAGCGGGGAGGCGGUACCCGAAGAAGAAGCACCGGCUAACUCCGUGCCAGCAGCCGCGGUAAUAG
rnacentral:rRNA from 1 species